rnacentral:rRNA from 1 species
CUGGCUCAGGACGAACGCUGGCGGCGUGCCUAAUACAUGCAAGUCGAGCGGACCUCUUCGGAGGUCAGCGGCGGACGGGUGAGUAACACGUGGGCAACCUGCCUGUAAGACUGGGAUAACUCCGGGAAACCGGAGCUAAUACCGGAUAUUAUGUCAGACCGCAUGGUCUGACAUUCAAAGACGGUUUCGGCUGUCACUUACAGAUGGGCCCGCGGCGCAUUAGCUAGUUGGUGAGGUAACGGCUCACCAAGGCAACGAUGCGUAGCCGACCUGAGAGGGUGAUCGGCCACACUGGGACUGAGACACGGCCCAGACUCCUACGGGAGGCAGCAGUAGGGAAUCUUCCGCAAUGGACGAAAGUCUGACGGAGCAACGCCGCGUGAGUGAUGAAGGUUUUCGGAUCGUAAAACUCUGUUGUCAGGGAAGAACAAGUGCCGGAGUAACUGCCGGCGCCUUGACGGUACCUGACCAGAAAG